GCGGGCGUAGUAUAAUGGUAAUACACGUGCUUGCCAAGCACGAGCCGGCGGUUCAAUUCCGCUCGCCCGCUCCA
rnacentral:tRNA from 3 species